rnacentral:rRNA from 1 species
GAUGAACGCUGGCGGCGUGCCUAAUACAUGCAAGUCGAGCGAACAGACGAGGAGCUUGCUCCUCUGACGUUAGCGGCGGACGGGUGAGUAACACGUGGAUAACCUACCUAUAAGACUGGGAUAACUUCGGGAAACCGGAGCUAAUACCGGAUAAUAUAUUGAACCGCAUGGUUCAAUAGUGAAAGACGGUUUUGCUGUCACUUAUAGAUGGAUCCGCGCCGCAUUGGCUAGUUGGUAGGGUAACGGCUUACCAAGGGGACGAUGCGUAAGCGACCUGAGAGGGUGAUCGGCCACCCUGGAACUGAGACACGGUCCAGACUCCUACGGUAGGCAGCAGUAGGGAAUGUGCCGCAAUGGGCGGAAGCCUGACGGAGCAACGCCGCGUGAGUGAUAAAGGUCUUCGGAUCGUAAAACUCUGUUACUAGUGAAGAACAAAUGUGUAAGUAACUAUGCACGUCUUGACGGUACCUAAUCAGAAAGCCACGGCUAACUACGUG